rnacentral:tRNA from 1 species
GAGAAUGUGACUCAAUGGUAGAGUGCUUGCCUAGCAUGCAAGAAGCCCUGGGUUCAAUUCCUCAGUACCUCA